CCCAGGGCUGGUGUCUGUUCACUGGUGGGUGAAGCCAGGCCCUGGGGCUAGUGCUGGCCCACUGGCAGGCAGAGCUGUGUCCUGGGGUCUUGCUGCAAGGCCCAGGGGUCCCAGGGCUGGUGCCAGACAGCUGGUCAUUGGGGCUGGUUCCUGACACAGCUGCCUGUAAGGUCUGGGGUGUCCCAAAGCUUGUGUUGGCUUGCUGAGGAAAGAACACACGAGGACAAAGUCACUGUCUACAAGCCAGGAAGAGAGCCCACACCUGAAACUGAAUCCUGCCAGAAACUUGAUCUUGUACUUUCCAGCCUCCAGAACUGGUAUCUGCUGAAUUGGUUUUCCUUCAGGGAACCCACUUAAAGUUUGGGAAGUUUCUACUGACAUAUUCUCAAGCUCAGAGAUUCUUUCCUCAGCCCUAUCUAUUGGUGAGCCCAGCAAAGCAUGCUUUGUAUAUUUGUUGAAAGCUGAACUUGAUGUAUUAGGUAAUAGAAACCAGUCCUAAGGUUCUCCCAGGUCUCUCACUGACCAGCUCUUCUCCAAGGGCUCCCUCCAGGGAAAGUCUAGAGAACAUCCAGGGAGGCAGCAGCAGUGACAUAAUCAGAGUGCCAGCAGUGAUGUGGAUCUUUGUCUACAAAAUCAUCUCCAAAUUGCUGCUGAGAAAGAAGACGACAAUGAGAGUUCCUCGGCCUGAUGUGGACUGUGGCAACCAGUAUACAGGGGUCUGCUGGCUGGAGGAGGAACCCCCCAAGUCUCACCAGUGUUGGGGAUGUCCUGAGCCUUGGCCGCUGUGGAACUGAGUUUCAGACCAAGACUUUGGGAGCAGGCACAGUCCCUGCACACAAAGCUGCCUGGAGCCAGAGUGGAGCUACCAGUAGUAGAACCAGGGAAGGAAGCAAGCAAAGUGGUGGGAGUGUGGUGAAGGCCCUGCCCAAGGCUGCAGAUACAGAACCAGAGACGCCCAUGCUGGAGUAAGGCUGAGAGAGUACCAGUAUUAUUGUUUGCAAUGAUUCUUUUAAAUUAUUUUUGAAGAUCCUUUCCUAACCUUUAAGAAUCAGAAUAGUUAACAUUUGAAAUAUUUUCUGUAUCAGUUUUUAGGUGUUAGAAACUGGCAAGAAGCCUGAGAGGAGGCUUAAUUCUGGAAAGUGUGUCUUUUACAACAAUUUCAAUGUGAAAAACGUUUUUCCAAAUGAAUUUUGACUCUCGUGGUGAACACACACUGAUAAGCUGACGCAUUCUAGUAUCUGAUAUGGCCACGGUCUUCAAAUGAAAAAGCAAGCACUUGCUGUCCUUUGAAAUAUCUGCUGCAUCUCAUGCUGCUAUGUGUGUACGAGUGAACCUGCUUUUAUGGUUGUAUUUUUUGUGUUGAAUAGCUACUUUGAAUUUUCAUGAUUAUGCUUUGAUUAUUCAUAAUUUUUCAUUUUAUAGAACUGAUGUGUGUUGACAGUAAACUAAAUAAAAGAAAUAAAUGUGUGAAAU